rnacentral:misc_RNA from 1 species
ACUUAAAAUUUCUUCGAGGGGCACAUUGCAUUUCAAUGUUGCAGAAUGUGGCUAAUGCUUCAGAUGAUGUAAGGGAGCCCAUCUUAAUGGACAACGAGAGAAUAGAUUCUCUGGCGAUGGGAUGGGGAUUUCAAAAUACACCUGAUGAAAGUCGCGAUAGAGAUGUACUUGACAGGAUGAAACCUCAUGAAAAUCUGAAAAAGCUCACCAUGGUUCAUUAUGGUGGUACUGAAUUUCCAUUGUGGGUCGAUGAUCCUUUAUUUCAUAAUCUAGUGCGCCUAAAGUUGGAGGAUUGCAAGAAUUGCGUAACCUUGCCACAUCUUGGGCUUCUUUCCUCUCUCAGAAACUUGGUUAUUGAACGGAGAAAGUGGUUGAUCGUGAGUUUUAUGGCGAGGAUAACUUGAACCCUUUUCCAGCUCUAGAGACUCUGCACUUCAAGAGCAUGCGCAAAUGGGAAAACUGGAAUGUUAAUGAGGUUGAAUUCCCACGUCUACGCAAGCUUUCCAUUAUUUGGUGUCCAAAACUGUUGGGGAAAUUACCCAGCCAUUUGCCUUCA